AGUUUCCAGGUGGGUAACAGCAGGGAUAUAUCACCAUAUAAGUUGAAAGUCUUCAAUAAGAUCAUGACACAGGAGUGGUAAGGCCUAAACUGGUGCUUAAAUGAGGAAAUGCUUCACAGAUGGCUAAAAACUGGAGUGCUGGACUUUGGGCCAGAGUUUCAAGCUCUUGUUUCAUUGCACCUACCCAGAACUGAAAUAGAAAGAGCUAGAGGCAAAGAGGAAAAGCUAAAGUUCAAGAUUCAGAGAUUAGCAAUGUGUAGCCUGCAGCUCAGCUCAUAGGCAGUUGUGCUCUGAAGCAUGGCCAAAGAAUGUAGCUGAGAGAACUGAAGAAAAAGAUCAUUUUUGUUGAACACUGAGAUAGCAAAGGAUGCCAUAGAUUCCUUGGACAGAAACUACAGGUAUACUGACUUUCUGAAGAGCAGUAGAUGGAAGAAACCAUGCAGAGUAGAAGCUCACUGGCUCUGCAUAUGACAGAGACUCCUGUUGAGCUCCUGAAGGUGAAGCAGAGCCCUUUGAUUUGUCAGACCAUGCCUCCCAUAUUCCAGACUAUAGAGUUCCCCCAGGGAAAUACAGAAACUCAGUUUCUGAUUGGAAAGGCAAAGAGUGUGGAAGAAGACCCUGCUUUGGGACCAUCACCUGCAAUGAAGCUUGAAAUUUUGGUGCAAAAGCCUCACCUGGAGUGA
rnacentral:lncRNA from 1 species